rnacentral:rRNA from 1 species
GAUGAACGCUGGCGGCGUGCCUAAUACAUGCAGUCGAGCGAAUGGAUUAAGAGCUUGCUCUUAUGAAGUUAGCGGCGGACGGGUGAGUAACACGUGGGUAACCUGCCCAUAAGACUGGGAUAACUCCGGGAAACCGGGGCUAAUACCGGAUAACAUUUUGAACCGCAUGGUUCGAAAUUGAAAGGCGGCUUCGGCUGUCACUUAUGGCUGGACCCGCGUCGCAUUAGCUAGUUGGUGAGGUAACGGCUCACCAAGGCAACGAUGCGUAGCCGACCUGAGAGGGUGAUCGGCCACACUGGGACUGAGACACGGCCCAGACUCCUACGGGAGGCAGCAGUAGGGAAUCUUCCGCAAUGGACGAAAGUCUGACGGAGCAACGCCGCGUGAGUGAUGAAGGCUUUCGGGUCGUAAAACUCUGUUGUUAGGGAAGAACAAGUGCUAGUUGAAUAAGCUGGCACCUUGACGGUACCUAACCAGAAAGCCACGGCUAACUACGUGCCAGCCGCCGCCGUAA